GCUGGGGUGCUGGGCCAAUGACUUCCUCGUUGUGAGCCAAUUAAAGAGCCUGGUCGUUGUGGUUGCUGCUGAAAUCAUUUGUAAUGCAACGUUUGGAAUAAUUCACGCGCAAAUUGCCCGCGACUCGCGAAAAAUAUUGCAACAUUCCACUGCAAAUUUUACGAUUAUGCGUUUGCACCACAACAUCAGCAGCAGCAACAGCAACAGCGUAAGCAGCAACUGUUGCUGUUGGUAGUUGCCAUGUUGCUGGUUUCUAGUGGUUGGCAGCAACAAACAGCCAGCAACAGCAACACAUUCUCUCGUAGGCGCUCUCGAUCACAUCAAAUCAAAUCAAAUGUAAGCGAACGACCGAGGCAUUCGUUGUCAGGUCCAGUGCUCCAGAUAGAUAAAUCAGUCGGUUAAUUGUCGCAACUUGCAACCCGACUACCAGGUUGCCGCAUGUCUGGGAGCGUGAACUCUACUGCUGCUGGCAAUGGACACCCAUCGGACAGGACAGGAGGACACCUCUCUUAAAUAAUUAAUCGUAAGGGAUGACAUUUUUAUGCAAAGUCUUUGACCAAAAGAUCAAAGUUGAACAUGGAAACAUCGCAUCUGUGGAGUUUGGACAUUUUAAUUCCAUAAAUAAUGGCAUUUUGUCUCUAAACAGACAGUCAGUGUCUGCCCACUCUAUAAGGCCUAAAAGAAAUCAUUUAUUUAUAUAUAUUUUUUAAGGGGUAUGUUAAGAAGCUAUGGGUAUAUCUUAUUUUCUAUGAAAUAAUAGCUAUAGAUACUACUUUAUAAAUCUUAAAAAAUGAUAUGAUAUGCCAUUACUUCUUACCAACUACCUUUUCUCUUAAUUCUACUUAAGAAUAAUAUCCAUUAUAGGGUAUAGAAUAAGCCUAAUUAUUUGAAAUUUUCCAUUUCUCACUGGUUAGCUUUGUUCCCAGCUCUGUUCCGAAGACAGUGUCUUUAGGCUGACUACUCGUUGUCAAGUUGUGGACCACAGCGACCAAUCAGUGUCAGCCAGAAGUGUCUUUUUUAGUGGCCUAAAGUGAUGAGCUAAUCAACCUGACCUGACCAGUCCCCACAGUUACAAUCCCAGAGGCCAGUGGGUAUGGUAUGGUGUCUAUAUGUUAAUAACAUUAUUUAUGUAUCUUGUA